rnacentral:tRNA from 1 species
GCCUUCAUGGUGUAGUGGUCAGUUCACUCGACGCGUAACCGAAAGGUCCGUGGUUCGAUUCCCGGCGAAGGCA